rnacentral:rRNA from 1 species
UACGGAGGGUGCGAGCGUUGUCCGGAAUCACUGGGCGUAAAGGGCGCGUAGGCGGCGCGAGUAGUCAACGGUGAAAGCCCGGGGCUCAACCCCGGGUCGGCCGUCGAUACUCUCGUGCUUGAGCACUGUAGAGGCAGGUGGAAUUCCGGGUGUAGCGGUGGAAUGCGUAGAGAUCCGGAAGAACACCGGUGGCGAAGGCGGCCGUGCUGGGCAGUAGCUGACGCUGAGGCGCGACAGCGUGGGGAGCAAACAGG